rnacentral:lncRNA from 1 species
CUGAUACCAAGCUAUUGCUCUGAGCAGCAGUUAUUUGCUUAUCGAUACUCACUCUCUCUGUGAAAUCAGAAGAACCAAUGAAGGGACUCAUUGGUGAUGUUGGUGAAGUGCUCAACGACACCACAGAAGGUGGGGAAGUAAGAGAAGCUGGAGCAAGCACUGUCAUUGUUAGAUCUUGUGAAGUCAGGUUUGAUGCCUGAAGAGUUAAGACCUGACAAAUUGAACAAUUUAAGAGAAAACUGACACCACAGAAGGUGGGGAAGUAAGGGAAGCUGGAGCAAGCACUGUCAUUGUUAGAUCUUGUGAAGUCAGGUUUGAUGCCUGAAGAGUUAAGACCUGACAAAUCAAACAAUUUAAGAGAAACCUUCAUCUUGACAAGUAAAAAUACAUGUAUUCUCAUAUCAUGUUCAAAC